rnacentral:hammerhead_ribozyme from 1 species
AUCCGCCUGAUGAGUCCCAAAUAGGAUGAAAUGCGCAUCCUGGAU